UGUUGAUGUUGACAUGGGACU
rnacentral:misc_RNA from 1 species